UACGGGGGGAGCAAGCGUUGUUCGGAUUUACUGGGCGUAAAGGGCGCGUAGGCGGUCAGCACAAGUCAAUUGUGAAAUCUCCGAGCUUAACUCGGAAAGGUCAACUGAAACUGUGCGACUAGAGUGCGGAAGGGGCAACUGGAAUUCUUGGUGUAGCGGUGAAAUGCGUAGAUAUCAAGAGGAACACCUGCGGCGAAGGCGGGUUGCUGGGCCGACACUGACGCUGAGGCGCGAAAGCUAGGGGAGCAAACGGG
rnacentral:rRNA from 1 species